CUGACAACAGGUUACAUCACAUUCUCAAGCAUCUGAUACUGAAGCAGCAUGCUAAAGAAUUAAAACCAUCUUAGUAUAAUACACAAAUAUGUGGAGGUAAACAUCAAUUGGCUAGGCAUUUGAUGUGCUCCAGCCAUUUGCAAAACAACUUUCUACCAAAGAUUAACUGUUUCGACAUAACACAGGAACUGAGGCAUGCAUCUGGACUCUAAAGCUCCCUGAUAAAGAAAAGAAAAAGGGAUCUCAUAGUAGUUUUAGGAAAGAAGCCCAAUCAACAUGGCUCAAAGGAUCUACUGCUAAGCGUCUUGAUCUGAGGCACUCCAGGAGAACCCAAGAUGUUUUUCUCCCCCACAUACCAAAAGGACAGAGCUGUCUAGAAGUAAAAGAGCUUGUUGUCUCCGGCAUUUCUCCUUUUGGCCACGAGCUUUAUCUGAUGACCACUGGAGUGUCAUUUUGAUUCUCUUUCUUCACCGUGACAGACCCGAGGAGUGACCACAUUACUCCAGGCAAGACUGACCUCGACCCUUAGGAAAGUAAUCAACCUCUUUCCUGGUGGUCCAUUGCCACAUGCUGUUAGAGCAUCUGCAACAAGCCAAGUGAUGAGCCCAGCAUGCUGAGUGCGAGGGUCAGAGUAGGGCGACUCUGCAUCUCUGCUGCCGGCUCAGACAGGUCUCAACUGGCUGCUCCUUCCACCUUCGGCAAGAUCCGGCAAAUCAAAGCAACUUACAUCACCCUGAAGAUAGCGGAGAGGUUUGAUCAGGAGGAGAGACUGAAGGGAGGGCAAUUGUUGGUAAGAAACAUGACUACCUCCCCUUGUGCCCACCUCCAGGAAAGUAAUUUAGAUUAAGACUUAUCUCUUAAAUAAUUAAGCUUUAAGAGUAGGGAAAUGUACUUUUAUUACCACAGAUUGUAAAGGAAACUCUGGAUCAAUCUAAGAGGAAAUACUGUAUUAUUAAGGGUACUGAGUGCACAGUAAAGAUGAUUUAAAACACCAACACAGCAUCCCGUGCUUUCUGGAUCCAUUCCAGACAUGUGAGCGCUGAAGAUCGAAAUUUCAACAGCCAACACUGCCAUCGUGCGGCAAUCCCGAGUCACUGCAACACGAUUGCAUUUAAAAUGUCUCCUGCGUUGUCGGGCAGUUUUUCUCAAAGCUUUACAAAUGUAGGCGUGACAUGUUUGUUUCGGCUUGCUAAAAAAAAAAGAUAAUAAUAAAUAAAUAAAAUCUUUGAAAACUGUCAAAUCAAAUGGCUACUUCAAAUGACUCAAAACUUCUAAAUGAAAUGUGUAUAAAUCAAUUUGUGUUCAAAAUGCCAAACGUAUUUUUUACAUUACAAAGCUACCCAACUUUAACAAAACUCAGACCAGACCUUGCAUUUCAGUUUCAUAGCACUCCGAAACAAAUUUAAAUUCCUAAGAUCUUUGUUUUAUAGCAGUUGACUUGCCGUUUUGACUUCCCAGCAUUUGUGUUCUAAAACUAACAUUUUACUUAAUCAUUUAAAUUAAUGAAUACGAGUCUACCCAUUUUAUUGUGUCCAACCUUUCACUUCUGUAAUUGCUUUCUUUGCAUACCUUUAUGCAACUUGUUACCAAUUGGCUCCUUUACUUUGAGCCUCUGAAAGGUAACUUAACACUGCCAUCAUGUGGUGAUUUCAAAUUACUGCAUUUUCCUUCUUUGAUUUUUCAAUAAUUUACUGCUUCAGUUAAACUUGCUGUAUUCUAAAAGUUAUAAAAUAAAAUAGAAAGUAUUUGAUUAGUUAACAUAGAAUCACAAUGAUUUCAACAUUAUUCAGUUUUAUUGAAACAACUUUAUUAAAACAAAUGAACAGUGGCAUAAAAUGUCCCGUUUCUGUCCAAUUCCACUACUGGAAAACACUGGUGGGUUUUGAAAACAGGUGGUAUAUUGAUUGCGGUCCAAGUUUAAAAAAGAAAAAAAAAAAAAAAGUCACGAGGUUCAGUUCGUUCAUAUACAGGCCCAAGUUUCAACAUCAGAGCUCCCCAUGUGGCUCUGGAGUCGUCUCCAA